CUACGGGGCGCACCAGUAGGGAAUAUUGGACAAUGGGCGAAAGCCUGAUCCAGCAACACCGCGUGCACGAUGACGGCCUUCGGGUUGUAAAGUGCUUUUAGAGGAGAUGAGAAAGGACAGUAUCCUCUGAAUAAGCCUCGGCGAACUACGUGCCAGCAGCCGCGGUAAAACGUAGGAGGCAGCGUUAUCCGGAUUUAUUGGGCGUAAAGCGCGUGCAGGCGGUCUAGCAAGUUGGAUGUGAAAGCUCCCGGCUCAACUGGGAGAGGUCGUUCAAUACUGUUAGACUAGAGAAUAGAGAGGGAGGUGGAAUUCCGGGUGUAGUGGUGAAAUGCGUAGAUAUCCGGAGGAACACCAGUGGCGAAAGCGGCCUCCUGGACUAUUUCUGACGCUAAGACGCGAAAGCUAGGGUAGCAAACGGGAUUAGAUACCCCCGUAGUC
rnacentral:rRNA from 1 species